UACGUAGGGUGCAAGCGUUAAUCGGAAUUACUGGGCGUAAAGCGUGCGCAGGCGGUUAUGCAAGACAGAUGUGAAAUCCCCCGGGCUCAACCUGGGAACUGCAUUUGUGACUGCAUAGCUGGAGUGCGGCAGAGGGGGGAUGGAAUUCCGCGUGUAGCAGUGAAAUGCGUAGAUAUGCGGAGGAACACCGAUGGCGAAGGCAAUCCCCUGGGCCUGCACUGACGCUCAUGCACGAAAGCGUGGGGAGCAAACAGG
rnacentral:rRNA from 1 species